ACGCACGCUGGCGGCGUGCUUAACACAUGCAAGUCGCACUGAAAGGCCUCUUUCGGGGGGUACUCGAGUGGCGAACGGGUGAGUAACACGUGAGUAACCUGCCCUUGACUUUGGGAUAACUUCAGGAAACUGGGGCUAAUACCGGAUAGGAGCUCCUGCUGCAUGGUGGGGGUUGGAAAGUUUCGGCGGUUGGGGAUGGACUCGCGGCUUAUCAGCUUGUUGGUGGGGUAGUGGCUUACCAAGGCUUUGACGGGUAGCCGGCCUGAGAGGGUGACCGGCCACAUUGGGACUGAGAUACGGCCCAGACUCCUACGGGAGGCAGCAGUGGGGAAUAUUGCACAAUGGGUGGAAGCCUGAUGCAGCAACGCCGUGUGCGGGAUGACGGCCUUCGGGUUGUAAACCGCUUUCGCCUGUGACGAAGCGUGAGUGACGGUAAUGGGUAAAGAAGCACCGGCUAACUACGUG
rnacentral:rRNA from 1 species